CAUAUCAAUAAGCGGAGGAAAAGAAACCAACAGGGAUUGCCUCAGUAACGGCGAGUGAAGCGGCAACAGCUCAAAUUUGAAAUCUGGCCUCGGCCCGAGUUGUAAUUUGUAGAGGAAGCUUUUGGUGCGGCACCGACCGAGUCCCCUGGAACGGGGCGCCAUAGAGGGUGAGAGCCCCGUAUGGUUGGACGCCUAUCCUCUGUAAAGCUCCUUCGACGAGUCGAGUAGUUUGGGAAUGCUGCUCAAAAUGGGAGGUAAAUUUCUUCUAAAGCUAAAUACUGGCCAGAGACCGAUAGCGCACAAGUAGAGUGAUCGAAAGAUGAAAAGCACUUUGAAAAGAGGGUUAAAUAGCACGUGAAAUUGUUGAAAGGGAAGCGCUUGUGACCAGACUUGCGCCUCGUCGAUCAUCCGGGGUUCUCCCCGGUGCACUCGGCGGGGCUCAGGCCAGCAUCGGUUUUCGCGGGGGGACAAAGGUCCCGGGAACGUAGCUCCUCCGGGAGUGUUAUAGCCCGGGGCGCAAUGCCCUCGCGGGGACCGAGGACCGCGCUUCGGCAAGGAUGCUGGCGUAAUGGUCACCAGCGACCCGUCUUGAAACACGGACCAAGGAGUCAAGGUUUUGCGCGAGUGUUUGGGUGUAAAACCCGCACGCGUAAUGAAAGUGAACGUAGGUGAGAGCUUCGGCGCAUCAUCGACCGAUCCUGAUGUAUUCGGAUGGAUUUGAGUAGGAGCGUUAAGCCUUGGACCCGAAAGAUGGUGAACUAUGCUUGGAUAGGGUGAAGCCAGAGGAAACUCUGGUGGAGGCUCGCAGCGGUUCUGACGUGCAAAUCGAUCGUCAAAUCUGAGCAUGGGGGCGAAAGACUAAUCGAACCAUCUAGUAGCUGGU
rnacentral:rRNA from 1 species